CUUUUAGAAUAAACCGUGUUCUGCUAGGGUUCAACAUGCCCACAAUAAUUCUGAGUUGUACAAUUUUCAGUGACAGGUGAGAGAAAGCAAGCAGGAUUGAACAAGUUCAUCCAUAAAUGAGGAAAUACCAGGUUUCCAUGCCUCCCAUAAAUUAAAACAUCCUUCCUGAUUAACUCAACCAUUGGUUACCUGCUGAAUGCUGGAAUAAAAUCAACAGGUGAACUCCCAGACAUUUGCAAAAAAUCCUGCUCCUGUCCUCCUCCGCCUCACCAUGUGAAGAAGACCAAGUUACCCUAAGGAAGAUGAGAGUGCACACAAAGCAAAGCCAACACAUCCACCUGAAACCAACUUAAGCCAGCAGCCCAGGAUGACCCGAUAGCUGGCCGCAGAGUCAGCUGAGACCAUAGGCUUCAGCUGAGCUCAGCCUAAAUUUCUAAUCUGAUGAAUCAUAAACUAAAUAAAUGGCUGUUGUGCUUUAAGCUACUAAAAUUUAAAGAUGUUUAAACAGGAAUAUGCAUAUCAUCUGACAAGAGUUUUAGUGUCAAAAUUCAAAUAAUAUUUCUGAAUUAGUUAACAUAGGCUGUUGUUAUAAUGACAUUUUAUUUUUAGGGAAUUCUAUACUCUAUAGGAAGUGAAUAGUAUUUCUUAUAUUUAAGCAACCACUGACAUAUUCUGCAAUGGGUAUCGGUAUUCCAUUCUGUUGAGAGGUUAGUGACAUCAUAAUUACACCCACAAUUGGAAAGUGGGAUAGGGGUGUGGGAUUUCUGGUACCCAGUACAAUUUUUUUAACUAUAUCACUGUUUUUCCUGGGAAAAUAAACAAAGCCAUUGUUUAUUUUCUUCAUUUACU